rnacentral:rRNA from 1 species
UGGGGAAUUUUGGACAAUGGGCGAAAGCCUGAUCCAGCAAUGCCGCGUGUGUGAAGAAGGCCUUCGGGUUGUAAAGCACUUUUGUCCGGAAAGAAAUCCUUGGCUCUAAUACAGUCGGGGGAUGACGGUACCGGAAGAAUAAGCACCGGCUAACUACGUGCUAGCAGCCGCGGUAAUACGUAGGGUGCAAGCGUUAAUCGGAAUUACUGGGCGUAAAGCGUGCGCAGGCGGUUUGCUAAGACCGAUGUGAAAUCCCCGGGCUCAACCUGGGAACUGCAUUGGUGACUGGCAGGCUAGAGUAUGGCAGAGGGGGGUAGAAUUCCACGUGUAGCAGUGAAAUGCGUAGAGAUGUGGAGGAAUACCGAUGGCGAAGGCAGCCCCCUGGGCCAAAUACUGACGCUCAUGCACGAAAGCGUGGGGAGCAAACAGGAUUAGAUACCCUGGUAGUCCACGCCCUAAACGAUGUCAACUAGUUGUUGGGGAUUCAUUUCCUUAGUAACGUAGCUAACGCGUGAAGUUGACCGCCUGGGGAGUACGGUCGCAAGAUUAAAACUCAAAUGAAUUGACGGGGUCAUAGCUGUUUCCU